UCCCUUGUCUGCUUGUCAUUAUACUGAUUAAAAUUUGCCAAGCCUUGUCUUCGGGGAAAACAGCACAAUAAAAUAACCAACAAAGCAAAGCACUUAUCUGAGUGUGGAAUCCAGGAAGGGGCACAGGGCUUGGGACAAGCACAGAGCACAGUGACUGUGUUCAGCAACCCUUUCUUGGUAGCCACACCCUCCAGAUGGUCCAAAGUGUGCCUGGAGACCCAAAAGGUUCUAUUUCUGAUCUGUGUUCUCCCUGGGCAUCUAUAGGUCUUCUAAGAAUCAAUUAGUUCCAGGGGAACCUCAAAAAACAGAAGGUAGCAAAGACCCUUUGUACUGCAAACAUUAAACCAGGAUUGGGACCACUUGUCCCAUUGUAUGAACUCUUCUUUCAAAGCAGCCUGAGAUAAGCAGAAAUGACAUAACUGGAACUGGAAAGAAAACACUCACUGCUUCAGAUUUGCACGAGUAUCUUCUCCUCACACGGACUUGGAAGCCUUUGGAGUUUUAGCAAAUUUUAUUAAUACUAGGUAAUCAAACUCAGUUUCUAGAUUAUUUCCGUGGACCUUGGUUAAUCUUCAGUUUAUAAAAUUCUUUCAUUUUUUACUAACUUGGUAUCUUAUUUCUGAUUUUCUUUCUUCUUGUUGGAAAAGAUGAACUGUAUUUGAAGAAGUGGUUUACAAUGUACAUCUUCUCUAAAUGGUUUUUGUUCCAAAAUAAUCACAGAACAAUGUGAUUAUACAAAGGUCAGUAUCAUCUGUUUAACUAUGAAAAGCUAAUGCCAAACUGAUUUCUUUCUAUAUUGGGUAGAAAAGUAAUACACAUUGGGGAGAAUGCUGGUAUUUUAAAAAUCUGUGUGCUUAGUUGGAAUCUAUUUGAAGUUUGAUUCAGAGACCAGGAAUUAUUUUAGGUAGGCGUGAUUACUUUUUUCUUGUUUGUGUUUUGAAAUGCCAUGUACAAAAUGCUUCAAGUACAGUGAACACAGAAUCCUACCAAAUGUACAUUUUUCCUGCAAACAUCUACACCUUCACACAGUGUUAUGAACACAUAUAUGUAUUUUUUUGCCAAAAGAAGGAAAGAAAAUAUAAAAAGAAAGAAAUCUAUCUAGGGAUAGGUACACUUAUCAUAAGCCUCUCAUCUAAAAACACAUUUGUUUCAGAUUAAAACUAGACAAAAUUUUGUCCUCCAACAAUAUUUGGAAGUAAAUUUCCAUUAAGAGCAACUGUUUCAUUUCAUGUAAAAUGUAAACAAUGCAGUUUACAUUUAUGAGAGGAGGUGGGGUAAAUGAAGUUUUUAAAAAUUGAACACUAUUGUGUUAGUGUAUUGCACCAAACUAAAAGGUUCUGGAGUGGGGUUGAGAGAAGGGCUCAGGUCCUGGAACAUGAUGGCAGAGGAGAACCUAGAGGGGUUUGUAUUGUUAUGUGGGGACCUGAGAAAUGUUAUGCAUGUACAAACUAUUGUGUUUAUUGUCAAGUGUAAACCAUUAAUCCCCCAAUAAAGAAAUAAAAAAAUAAAUAA